rnacentral:rRNA from 1 species
GAUGAACGCUGGCGGCGUGCUUAACACAUGCAAGUCGAACGAAGCAUUUCCUUUUCUUCGGAAAAGGAAAUGACUGAGUGGCGGACGGGUGAGUAACGCGUGGGUAACCUGCCUCAUACAGGGGGAUAACAGCUGGAAACGGCUGCUAAUACCGCAUAAGCGCACAAUGCUGCAUGGCAUAGUGUGAAAAACUCUGGUAGUAUGAGAUGGACCCGCGUCUGAUUAGCUAGUUGGUAAGGUAAUGGCUUACCAAGGCGACGAUCAGUAGCCGACCUGAGAGGGUGACCGGCCACAUUGGGACUGAGACACGGCCCAAACUCCUACGGGAGGCAGCAGUGGGGAAUAUUGCACAAUGGGCGAAAGCCUGAUGCAGCGACGCCGCGUGAGCGAAGAAGUAUUUCGGUAUGUAAAGCUCUAUCAGCAGGGAAGAAAAAAAUGACGGUACCUGACUAAGAAGCACCGGCUAAAUACGUGCCAGCAGCCGCAGUAA